rnacentral:rRNA from 1 species
ACCGGUGCAAAGGUAGCAUAAUCACUUGCCUAUUAAUUAUAGGCUAGAAUGAAAGGGUUAACGAAAUAAAGACUGUCUCAAUUAAUUACCUAAAAAUUAUUCUCUACCCGAAGAAAGGUAGAUAAUCUCGAAGGACAAGAAGACCCUAUAGAGCUUAAUUUUAAUUAUAGAAUUAAACUAUAAGAAUAUUCGGUUGGGGCGACCCAGGGCCUAAUCAAUCACCCAUUAAAUAAAAGAUAUAUAAAUCUAGUAAAUGACCCUAUAAAGAUCAUAAGAACAAGCUACCUUAGGGAUAACAGGCUAAUCCCACUUAAGAGUCCUUAUCGACAGUGGGGGUUGGCACCUCGAUGUUGGCUUAGGGUAUCUAUAUAGCGCAAAAGUUGUAUAAAGAUGGUUUGUUCAACC